AACUAGAAAAGUGAGUAUUUUUUUCAGUCUACGAUGGUGAGAUUUUUUGUCAAAACACCAAGUACGAUACCUCUGAGUUUGACCAUAAUAAGCCUCUGCUCAUGGCCAUGGCCAUAGCCAUCAAGGGACAGAUUUACGAUGAGCUCAGCAGAAACUUAAUUGGAGUGUGAUAGUUAGUUUUAGAGAGGAAGGAAGAAGUGAGGACAAGUCUGAAGUAUUGGUGGCUAUGUUGAAGGAAGCAGUGGAUUUGUGACUGAACUGUGCUGGUAGAGAUAUAAUAGAAAUUCAGCUUUCAAUUUAAGCAAAGCUAUGAUGGAAUUACUAUGAAUGUUCUUUGAUAGUGUUUUUCACGUUCCUUGCAUGUGCAUCAAAACUAGUAAUACAUAAAAAGAGAGACUUUUGCCUUGUGUGUAUUGUAAUAGAAAGGCAGUAGAAGGGCAAAAUGAUAGAGGAGAAGAAGAAGAAAAGAGGGAAACUGGCAACAGAAAUUCAGUGAUUAUUAUCUGCUUCAUCAC